UUUACCACGUCACCCCCUACUUUUGCACGCUUUAUUCAAUAAAAAUUAUAUCACAGCGUUAAAAAAAUUAUUAGGAAAGGUACGCGGUGCAAAACUUUACGGCCUUUAAUUCCCCAUUUGAAUAACAUGUCCCAAAGGUCUCUUCCAUAUGUCGUAAAGUUUUGCUCUUGACUGUACAACUCCCGAAUUUUAAUCCAACAGUGGGAUUAAAAUUGACUAAAAACUAAAAAAAAUCUAAAAGUUGAGAUCUCUCCCGUGUUCCAAAUUGAUUUUUUUGUUCUUUUUUUAUCAGACAUUUAAAUACUGGAUUUUUUUGCGGAACUACUCGUAACGUGAUAUCCUCGAUGCUAAAUUUUAAACAUUAGUGUGACCUUAACAGAAAUGUCUCCCCGCAUACAUGCAUAUGGUCAAAGCUUUUGAUUAAAAAUAGUAUAAAGAGUAAAAUUAUGUUGCUCGUAUUUCAGUGUUAGAAAUGUGGGAACUUAUAUUUUUUUUUUCUUUAUCGAAAAAUUUUCUUAGUUAUGGAAUUGAUGACGGCGCUACCAAAAAAAGUGGGGCUGAUCGCGUUGUCGGCCGCUUCCUGGUAAUUAUCACGGUUUUGCUGUGGUCGUUUCCACUGUGCAUGAUCCUUGGGCUGUUUUUCUUCCCGCUGGAUCCAAUUACACACUUGUAUCGGAUUUUUUUACAAAUCGACGACAGUAUGGACGAGGACAGGAUAUCUGAUUUACAACAUUCUUGGAUUGAUGACGCUCCCACUGAUCCACGAGGCAUGUCGAAUUUAUACGAUAGGCGUCAUUGUGCCGGUGCUACUCAUAACGAGGGUGAACCAGUCCCUUGAUAACCUGUCCAAGAUAACUCUAAGCUACGCAAUGCAGCCCUGUUCUCCCAGAAGACGACGAGACAUCGAAUCCACGACAUGAUUCAUAACUACAACCGACUUUCGAUCCUCAUGGCGAGGUCGAACCUGUUCAUGGCACCGGGCGCAGUGAUCAUGCUGUCCAACUUGUUCUUGGGCCAAGUGUACUUUAAUUUUGCUACGCUAAAAUUUUACUCAUUUUUGCCCAUAAUUUAUUUUUAUACAGACAUCGGAAUUUCAACAGUGUUGAUUUUAGUGUCGUACAUGGGUUUUCACUUGAUCUCUCCGCAGAACGCGAUGGCCACUUAGUUUAUUAGAGAAUGGUGGAGACCCGUGGUAAAUAUUGAUAUGAAAUAUUACACACAAAUUGUGAGGUCGUUACAACCGGUGAAAAUAUAUUGCGGGCUGGGGGGAGUAAAAUUCUUUUA